rnacentral:rRNA from 1 species
UACGAAGGGUGCAAGCGUUACUCGGAAUUACUGGGCGUAAAGCGUGCGUAGGUGGUUCGUUAAGUCUGAUGUGAAAGCCCUGGGCUCAACCUGGGAAUGGCAUUGGAAACUGGCGAUCUAGAGUGCGGUAGAGGGUAGUGGAAUUCCCGGUGUAGCAGUGAAAUGCGUAGAGAUCGGGAGGAACAUCUGUGGCGAAGGCGACUGCCUGGACCAGCACUGACACUGAGGCACGAAGGCCAGGGGAGCAAACGGG